GAUGCGUAUUGGAAAGCUUCGGCCGGAAGAUACGUUAUCUAGUGGCGGACGGGUGAGUAACACGUGGGUAACCUGCCUUAUGGAGGGGGAUAACAGAGAGAAAUCACUGCUAAUACCGCAUAAGCACACAGUACCGCAUGGUACAGGGUGAAAAGAUUUAUCGCCAUAAGAUGGACCCGCGUCUGAUUAGCCAGUUGGCAGGGUAAAAGCCUACCAAAGCAACGAUCAGUAGCCGAUCUGAGAGGAUGACCGGCCACAUUGGGACUGAGACACGGCCCAAACUCCUACGGGAGGCAGCAGUGGGGAAUAUUGCACAAUGGGGGAAACCCUGAUGCAGCGACGCCGCGUGAGUUAAGAAGUAUUUCGGUAUGUAAAGCUCUAUCAGCAGGGAAGAUAAUGACAGUUCCUGACUAAGAAGCCCCGGCUAACUACGUGCCAGCAGCCGCGGUAAUACGUAGGGGGCAAGCGUUAUCCGGAUUUACUGGGUGUAAAGGGAGCGUAGACGGAAUGGCAAGUCUGAAGUGAAAUACCCGGGCUCAACCUGGGAACUGCUUUGGAAACUGUUGUUCUAGAGUGUUGGAGAGGUAAGUGGAAUUCCUGGUGUAGCGGUGAAAUGCGUAGAUAUCAGGAAGAACACCGGAGGCGAAGGCGGCUUACUGGACAAUAACUGACGUUGAGGCUCGAAAGCGUGGGGAUCAAACAGGAUUAGAUACCCUGGUAGUCCACGCUGUAAACGAUGAAUACUAGGUGUCGGGGUACAAAGCAUCUCGGUG
rnacentral:rRNA from 1 species